rnacentral:rRNA from 1 species
UACGGAGUGGGCUAGCGUUGUUCGGAAUUACUGGGCGUAAAGCGCACGUGGGCGGCUUUGUAAGUUAGAGGUGAAAGCCCGGGGCUCAACUCCGGAAUUGCCUUUAAGACUGCAUCGCUUGAAUUGUGGAGAGGUAAGUGGAAUUCCGAGUGUAGAGGUGAAAUUCGUAGAUAUUCGGAAGAACACCAGUGGCGAAGGCGACUUACUGGACACAUAUUGACGCUGAGGUGCGAAAGCGUGGGGAGCAAACAGG